rnacentral:piRNA from 1 species
UACCAACUGAUCGCCAGUAAGUCUUCGG